rnacentral:rRNA from 1 species
GAGCUCGUAGGCGGUUUGUCGCGUCUGCUGUGAAAUCCGGAGGCUCAACCUCCGGCCUGCAGUGGGUACGGGCAGACUAGAGUGCGGUAGGGGAGAUUGGAAUUCCUGGUGUAGCGGUGGAAUGCGCAGAUAUCAGGAGGAACACCGAUGGCGAAGGCAGAUCUCUGGGCCGUAACUGACGCUGAGGAGCGAAAGGGUGGGGAGCAAACAGGCUUAGAUACCCUGGUAGUCCACCCCGUAAACGUUGGGAACUAGUUGUGGGGUCCAUUCCACGGAUUCCGUGACGCAGCUAACGCAUUAAGUUCCCCGCCUGGGGAGUACGGCCGCAAGGCUAAAACUCAAAGGAAUUGACGGGGACCCGCACAAGCGGCGGAGCAUGCGGAUUAAUUCGAUGCAACGCGAAGAACCUUACCAAGGCUUGACAUAUACGAGAACGGGCCAGAAAUGGUCAACUCUUUGGACACUCGUAAACAGGUGGUGCAUGGUUGUCGUCAGCUCGUGUCGUGAGAUGUUGGGUUAAGUCCCGCAACGAGCGCAACCCUCGUUCUAUGUUGCCAGCACGUAAUGGUGGGAACUCAUGGGAUACUGCCGGGGUCAACUCGGAGGAAGGUGGGGAUGACGUCAAAUCAUCAUGCCCCUUAUGUCUUGGGCUUCACGCAUGCUACAAUGGCCGGUACAAAGGGCUGCAAUACCGCGAGGUGGAGCGAAUCCCAAAAAGCCGGUCCCAGUUCGGAUUGAGGUCUGCAACUCGACCUCAUGAAGUCGGAGUCGCUAGUAAUCGCAGAUCAGCAACGCUGCGGUGAAUACGUUCCCGGGUCUUGUACACACCGCCCGUCAAGUCAUGAAAGUCGGUAACACCUGAAGCCGGUGGCCUAACCCUUGUGGAGGGAG